GGGGAUGUGGCUUAGUGGUAGAGUGCUUGUCUAGCAUGCAUGAAGCCCUGGGUUCAAUUCCUCAGUACCA
rnacentral:tRNA from 1 species